AGGUAUAAGAUCACGAACACUGAAUAUAAAGCUUAGUUGCAUACAUAAUUAUUGGACAUCAAUUAAUUUCAAUGUCAAACUACAAAAGGAAGCAAAACGGGUAUCAGUUUGCAACACAAGACACGCCUAGGAAUAUUAGCCUAAGCCGGAGAGCAGAGAGGGACCAUGGAAGAUGUUAACCUGUAAAUUUUUAAACUCUCCAAAGAACUAUCAUCCAGCCCUAUUUGAAAAAUUACAUUGACAAUUAUUACUACAAAACAACCAUUGCCUUUAGCUUGAUAACUUCUGACAAAAAUGUGGGAAGAGAAAGGGCAACAUUUACAUGCAUUCUAGUUGAAAGGGUCAUCUUUCUUUGAUGAAUCUGUAUCUCAUGCCAUAAGAACAAUCUCACCUUGUGAACAUUUCUCAAAUAUCUCUUUGGCCAAUUGUAGUAGGGAAUCUGUGUCUUCAGCCAUCUUUGAAACCCUCUCUACCUCCUUAACUGCUUCAGCUGCAACAAAUGAUUUGUUUUCUGCCUCGGCAAUCCUGUAGGCAGCAGCAACAGCAGCUUCUUCCAUGGUAUCACCAGAAUUUAUGCAACCAGUGCUCUGUAAAGGCAUAGGCUGGUCUUUCUGUUUUCGGGUAGGCGUUUUUGUCCCUAAUGAGGAAUUAUUCUUUAUUGUAUAACAAUUUUGAACCUGCAUUUAUAUCACUUGAUAAAACCAUUUAGUAUGCCCUCCGAAUGAGAAUCCUACUGCACAUAUACUAUCAAUGGAAAUGUGUACGAUAUUCCCUUCUAUCUCUGGAAAAAUUUGUUUCCUUGCUCUCCAAUGUUAUUUCUCUUCUCCUAAUUUGACAGUGAUUUUCUCAUCGAUUGAUGAAAGCACAAACGAGAAUAUAAGAGAGUGUUUUUUCCUAGAAUUGCAAUAUAUUUUAGCUAGAAUUUGCUGCUUCAUAUAUUACAUGAAUCACCUUCCCCUCUAUUUGUUUAUUUAUCUUUUUUGAGGGGAGCAGGCAGAGAGGCAGCAGUUGGUGGAACACUUUCAACACGCCACUGCAUAAACCCCACCUCUCCAUAAUAUUGCAUGCCGUGCUCUUCAUUCUCUUUUUUUUUUUUGCUCAAAAAUGGAGUCAGCAAAGUUAAAGAUAACAAAAAUAAAUGCAAAAAUGAGAGGAAACUUGACUCUGCAGUUUGAAAGCAAGCACGUAUCAAUAUCAAGACAUGGCAAUCAAGGAAGAAGCAGCAUUGCAAUGAUAGAAUUCACUUACCUUUUCAAGUUUUUCCUUUGCAACCAAUCUUCUUAAGCUUGCACUUAAUUGCUUUCUAAAAUUUUGUGUUACCUCUUGCCUUUGCUGCAUGAAUAAUCAAGGAAACAAUAAUCUUGUCAUAUCUCUCAUAACUCAAAGAGCAUGAAUAAUUACAUAACAGUAAAAAGUAAGUAAACAAGAUGUAAUGCAGUAGAAUGUACCAGCAUACCUAAAAAUUAUCAAAGGUAGCAAUCACAGUGACAUCAUUUGAAAUUUCCAACACAAUUCAUUCCUGUUAAAAUGUUUACUGAGUACUAAAAGUAGAACUGAAUCGUGGUUUUUUCUUAUAAUUUUAUGUUAUGACGCAUCGCCUGAAUGAUAAAAAAAAAAACUUCCUCAAGCUUUUCACUAUAUUUAUUUAUGUUAUUGUUUUUGUCUAAACCUUUUUCUAUGCUUCCAGCCUCCAAAGUGUGCAGAAGGUAGGAGCCUAAAUGCAUUUUAUGUCAUCAUUUUCUUGCAUAAAUUAUCAAAUAUGACAAAAUCAUGCAUUUUUUUUCUGUAACCAUAAAUAAUAGCCUCCACCAUGGUAAAUCAAUGACUAUUGAUAGAGGAGUAACAGAACAUUGUGAUGGUAAAAACUUCCUUCAGACCUCGAUGUAGCUAACAAUUGCACUGGUGUCUGCUCCACUUUGCUUAUUCAAGGCUGAAAUUGCUUCAAAGAUCAUUGCAUUAUACUUUGGGGCACCUUUCCCAUGUAUUAUGCUUUUUGAAGAUUCAUCAACGGCAAGAUCUGCCUUAAUCGGAGCAAUAGAAGCAGAAGUUUGUAGAUUCGAAUCUGGAAUUGGAGAAGCAGCAGUAGCAGGAUCAUCACAAAUCGCUUUUGGUUUUGGUGUCCGCGAUUUUUCCCUCUGGCAUUGGCCACCGGCACUGGCACUCAUAUUCCGCCAUUUAUCCUUAAGAUCGAUAUUGGAGCGGGCAAAAAGGAAAGGAUUGAAUUCUGGGUCUUUUUGGAUGUUUUUCCACUUGCCAGUACCGUGUUUGGCUAUUCCUGCUCUUAGUGCUUCUUCUUCCUCUGAAGUCCAUUUCUGUUUUCGAUUUCCCAUCCCACUCCGCAACCUUCAAUCUUUCCGAUCGAUCAACGAGGUUUGUUCAUGGCAACUUUCUUCACCCUCCGUCUCCGGACAAAUCCCCACACAACGGAAACCGUUUUACGUGUCAGCCCUAGCUUUUACAAUUAAAAAAGCGACGUCGUUUGUUCUAGUUUACACGAUCAAAACGACACCUUUUCUACUUUCCGGGACUCCCAGCAGCUUUCCUGAUUACGAAUUGCUUUUUCGAAUUACUGUGCCAAUCCCAAAAGUCCACGUGGCAGAUUUUGGGAUGAUACUGGUCCAACUCAGCACCUCCCCUAUCCCCAAGGCUGAGAGUCUGGGAACAGAAGAGGCAAGACUUCUCGGGUUUCAGUUUCUACACGGAGCUCACCGUCACGCAUGAUCCUCAUCUUUUCUCUCUGCAGUUGCCAAACCAUACAAAUGGCAUAAAGCUUAAACCUUUUCUUUUCUUUUCAGAAAGGAAAAAGAAUAGUUUCCGAAUAACAACCUUGAAAGGAAGAAAAAAGAUUCCAAAAUGGAGUGUCUAGGAGCU
rnacentral:misc_RNA from 1 species